UCGAGUACCCCAUUACCCCAUGACCCCGAGCCCUCCUAAUCCCCAACCGCAGCCGCGCUUCUCCCGAUCGCAACUCCGCGCCGCCAGCCCACCCCAACGCUGCCGCGCCGCCAACACCGCCGCGCCGCCAACCCAGUCCAAAGCCGCCGCGCCGCCAGCCCACUCCAACGCCGCCGCCCCACCUCCCUGAUCCAAUUGGAGAAACACAAGUUAUGUUGUUCUAUUUCAUCCCUUCGACCUCCCUGAUAAACUUCUGAAUUUACUUCCAAAUUUGUUGUUCUAUUUCCUUGAUCCGAUCGGGGAAUCAACAUAUUUUUUCUUCUGUUUUCUUGAUCCGAUAGGGGAAUCAGCAGAUUUUUUAUUUUAUUUUCUUGAUCCAAUCUGGGAGUAUUCAGAUGAGGAAUUGGAUUUACCAUGCAAAGACCUAGAACGAUGGUACAAGGAUGUCUAGCAGCCGGAGGCACUUGGCCAGACCGCAGCAGCAUCAGCUGAUGUUAACAUCGCAAAGAAAAAGACGUUUGUUCAGCAUCGGCAAUCAAGUCAGGCACGAUCUCUCCGUGGCAGGGAAUUUAUGAUCAUGACUUCACUGUACAAGAGAAAAUGAUGUGGCUGGAUACCUGAAACCUGGAUUGGCAUGUAUGAUUCCCAAUUUUUCCCUCUCUGCUGCUACAUCUUUCAUGGGAAAGGGGUCAAAGAGCACUGGAGCAAAGAUUGGCUGAAACUUGCUGCGGUUAGGAGCACGGAGAGCACAUCAAGCGAUGCAUCUGACAAAGUUUGACCCUUGUGUGAAGCGACUAGUGCGCAUUGUGAAUUCCUGGUGCUUGCUUUACCCAAGUGAUGUUUUCUGGAGGACAGACGGAUCAUCCUCGAUUCGACGAUUUCUCGUGUACUCUUUCAGCAGCCCCAUCCUCAACCUGAAUGUUUCCCUUUGCGUUGUAGUAUAAAUUGUCUGUAGGCGCUUCUAGGACAUAUGGUGAUGUGUGAUGUACUGAUUUAGGGAGCCCUAGUGAACUGUGCAACGAUGCAUGGAUAUGUCUUACGACUAUUUAGCUGCAUGUACUGAUUUUUUUAUAACAUCUUCUUAUGCUAUC